AAUGAACGUUGGCGGCGUGGAUUAGGCAUGCAAGUCGUGCGAGAACCGUAGCAAUACGGGGACAGCGGCGAAAGGGAGAGGAAUACGUGGAUACCUACCCUCAGGUUCAGGAUAGCCAUGGGAAACUAUGGGUAAUACUGAAUAAUAUCUCCGGAUCAAAGGUGUGAUUCCACCUGAGGAGGGGUCCGCGUCCUAUUAGCUAGUUGGUGAGGUAACGGCUCACCAAGGCGAAGAUGGGUAUGGGAUGUGAGAGCAUGAUCCCACUCACUGGGACUGAGACACUGCCCAGACACCUACGGGUGGCUGCAGUCGAGAAUCUUCGGCAAUGGGGGCAACCCUGACCGAGCGACGCCGCGUGCGAGAUGAAGGCCUUCGGGUUGUAAAUCGCUGUCAGAGGGGAGGAAAUGCUAGUGGGUUCUCCCACUAGUUUGACCUAGCCUCAGAGGAAGGACGGGCUAAGUUCGUGCCAGCAGCCGCCGUAAUAC
rnacentral:rRNA from 1 species